UACGGGGGGGGCAAGCGUUGUUCGGAAUUACUGGGCGUAAAGGGCUCGUAGGCGGCCAACUAAGUCGGAUGUGAAAUCCCCAGGCUCAACUUGGGAACUGCAUCCGAUACUGGAUGGCUUGAAUUCGGGAGAGGGAUGCAGAAUUCCAGGUGUAGCGGUGAAAUGCGUAGAUAUCUGGAGGAAUACCGGUGGCGAAGGCGGCAUCCUGGACCGACAUUGACGCUGAGGCGCGAAGGCGUGGGGAGCGAACGGG
rnacentral:rRNA from 1 species